AUGAUGACUGUGACUGGCCUGUGUUUGGUGGAUUUGCUGAUCGGCAGUGUCGUGGGAACACCCCUACCAUAUCAGGAACAGAAGGCUGAGGAAGUACGUGGCCAGACACCAGUCCCACUUCAGAUGGAGGACAGGAGAGGUGGUUUGUCAUGGAGUCCCCUGACUAAAAGACAGGUUUAUACAGAUGUCUGGGGGAGAGUGGAGUGUUUCUGAGAGGAUUGUGUCUGUCUUUAAAAAAUGUAUUAUGAUUGACUAGGCCUGGCUCCCCAAUGGGUGGGCCCCUGCCCAGUCAUGAGAAAUCCAUAGAUUCGGGCCAAAUGAAUUUAUUUCAAUUGACUGAUUUCCUUAUAUGAACUGUAACUGUGUAAAAUCGUUGAAAUUGUUGCAUGUUGCGUUUAUAUUUUUGUUCAGUAUACAUUGAACACAUGGUUUCCAUGUGUUUGGUGAAAUUCCAUUCACUACAUUUUGGCCAUUAUUAUGAGCUGUUCUCCCCUCAGCAGCCUCCUGUGUUGUGCAAUGUCCACAUGUAGCCUACACCUGUAGGUAUAUUAGGGAAAGAUCUAACAGUGGACAUAAGGAGAGACAAGACAAAACAAGCCAGUUAUAGAAAACUGUGUUGACAGCUGAGCUGACUGAAGACCAGGUAAUCAACUGGCAGUUGUUGGUAUCGAUUCACAGUAACAUGUGAUCAGGGGGUUACAUGACGUGACAAAACUUCAAGUUGGAAGCUAUUUUUGUAGCAAGGUGUUGUAGAAGGUGUGUCUCAUGACACACAUUCCAGACACUGGUAACUUCUUGCUAUCUUGGUAUAGCUGUGAUUUGUCAGAGAAAUUUCAGCUAGCUAGAUGGAUAGCCAGCUGUAGCUAUCCCCAAGCAAUGCUAGCUAGCUAGCUUCUGUCAGAUUGGCUAAACACAACGUCAGCGCAGGCUUUAGCCUACACAUAGAACUGAAUCAGCAGAUCAUCUUGAGAUGGCAGGUCACUCAGGAGGGGACAAGUCUUCAACUUCAGAACUUCUCUCCAUAGCAAAGCUAGCUCAGCUUUCCUCACUGUCACUAAGUUACUCACUACUACCCUUGUUUGUUUGUUGUAAAUGAAUGGCAAAGACACACCCAAGAAACACCCACAUUAAACCACACCCAGAAAGACAACUCUUGUUUGGGAUUCAAUAAUGGCCGCUGCAUUUCUUAGUGAGCACCGGAAGAAACACAUGCAGUUUGCCUUUAAUGCCUCAUGAUGCAAGAGGCAGACUGUGACUCAAUUAAAAUUCCUAGUAAAUCUGGCAAUCAGUUAAACCAUACAAAUUUACGAUUUUCCCUAUGAUAUAUCACAUGCUAUCCGUAUCGAGUGAACUUUCAGCUGUUUUAUCUAGCAAUCUGCAGUUGCUACAUCAAUUUAUAGACUUGUAAAAUAAUUAUAUGUACCGAUUGAUUCUUGAAGAAUAUAACAUAUUGAACUCAUGAACUUAGUUAAACUGUAAUAUCCCAUCAGAACCCAAAAUAUAAGAUUGUUUACUUACUUUUCGCAAAUAAACACUGGAGUGAUAGAUGUGCAGAAGAUGAAUGUGCAAGUAGAGAUACUGGGGUACAAAGGAGCAAAAAAAUAUAUAAAUAAAAUAAAUAACAACAUGGGGAUGAGGUAGUUGGAUGGGCUAUUUACAGAUGGGCUAUGUACAGGUGCAAUGAUCUGUAAGCUGCUAUGAUAGCUGAUGCUUAAAGUUAGUGAUUUUUGCAAUUCGUUCCAGUCAUUGGCAGCAGAGAACUAUAUUGUUUGUUGAAAUGUAAACAAACAAUAUAGCGUAGCACCCCGUAUUAUCGGCAUGGUCAACAGUGUUGAAUAAAUAUAUUACCUUCAACAGUGUUAUCUUGUUUUGUGAUUAUUGGUGUUGUAAAAAUGCUAGCUAACGGGUUAGCUGUUAGUAUUUCCACUGAAAUGUCAAACAUGCUAUCAGCUUUUUGAUAAGUGGUUUAGCAAAAAAACAAUACAUCCCGUAUUAUCGGCAUACGGUCCCCAGUUAUUGACCACCUUAAUAUUUUGUUCAAUUACCAGAUAUAUCCGUUUACUUUUGUUCCAAAAAAUAGAUAAAAAGUUGGAUAUUAAAUGAUGUGUGGUCUGUCGUGCAGUCGAAAUUUACAAUAUACAGCGUGUCCCACAAAAUGUGUCUAUAAUCUAUAAUUUUGAUAUCAUGGAUAGCCAGUCCUUGCAGCCAUAGCUGUCUAUGAAUUUCAGACUGGUAAC
ensembl:lncRNA